CCUACGGGGGGCAGCAGUGGGGAAUUUUGGACAAUGGGCGCAAGCCUGAUCCAGCCAUUCCGCGUGCAGGACGAAGGCCUUCGGGUUGUAAACUGCUUUUGUACGGAACGAAAAGGCUCUGGCUAAUACCUGGGGCUCAUGACGGUACCGUAAGAAUAAGCACCGGCUAACUACGUGCCAGCAGCCGCGGUAAUACGUAGGGUGCAAGCGUUAAUCGGAAUUACUGGGCGUAAAGCGUGCGCAGGCGGUUAUGUAAGACAGAGGUGAAAUCCCCGGGCUCAACCUGGGAACUGCCUUUGUGACUGCAUAGCUGGAGUACGGCAGAGGGGGAUGGAAUUCCGCGUGUAGCAGUGAAAUGCGUAGAUAUGCGGAGGAACACCGAUGGCGAAGGCAAUCCCCUGGGCCUGUACUGACGCUCAUGCACGAAAGCGUGGGGAGCAAACAGGAUUAGAUACCCCAGUAGUC
rnacentral:rRNA from 1 species